GGGCGGAAGUGCCGUGCAGGGCUUGCCGGCACUAUGGGCGGAGGCUGUCGGGCCGGGCCGGACCGGGCUCGGGCCGGCGAGGCGCGGUGCAGCAACGAGCAAACUGUGUAUGAUCCCGGGAGCAUAGGCACGGUCUUGUGUAGCAUUGUCAUUCUGCCCCACCGCUCUGAUAUCUAACAAAGUAAUACAUUCUGGAUGUUGUCUACAAAUUCUUUCCUUCCUUAUGUAAGAGGUCGAUGCGCGUGUCGCCUAGUUUGUCACAGAGCGUCACUGAAGUACUGUUUUAUUUGUAUUUGUGAAGACAGCAGAAUCAAAGACAGCAGGUCAGUGACUCCCACCAAGAUGGUCAUUAAGAUAAAACAGUGAAGUUUCUAGCAUAUAUUAAAAAGCCUGGAGGAAUUAGCAUAGCUUGCAGGAAAGCGUGCUGGAAAGAGAUGAUAUUUGAGAGCAAGCGUGAAAAUGUCAUCUUUUUACCAAGAAUGAUGAGAACUGAUGCGUCUGUCCUGCGUUUGGAUAGGUCCGGGUUUAUGGAUAGCAACUAACUAUAGAAAGAAAUAAGAUCCUGAAGCAUCCCUGGAGCCGCUAACUCUACCUCUUUAUCUGUUCCCUAAGAAGAUGCCCUGGAUUUAAAGAUGGUGUGUAUUAAAUGAAGUAUGAGAAGAAACAGCUUCUUCGGACACUUGCGCUCCUCUUCUUCAGCUCGUGGAGAAGGCUGACAGCCUGUCUCACUCUCGGUCAGUGCUAUCCCACCAGCUCCUUUAGGAGCCCAGCACCGCGUUUGGCCUGUUGAGAUCUUCCCGCUCCCCUCAUUUCUGUGCUGCAACGCCACCAUCCACGAGAAGUCAGACAGGAGAAAAGCUCUUUCCAGAGAGAUGGAGAAGGAAUUAAUUAGACCUCUGCCUCAUCCUGCAAGACCAGAAGACAUGGAGUAACUACGACGUGGGGUGCAUUUCUCUGCUGCACUUGUGGUUUUCCACCUGUGGUUUUUCACUUGUGGUUUUCCACGUGGUUCGCACUGCUUCCAUUAUUGAGAAAACGGUUUGGGAAGCUGUGUCUGCCACUUCUCAGGAUUUUCUGCCACCACCUGCUGGCAAAAAAAAUCAGUAACGGCAGGUGGAGCCAUGUAGGACUUCUCAGAGGUAAGCCUUCAACGUACGGGGACCCCUAAACUCGUGAGCCGAGCACGCAAGACAAAUGUCCGUGGCACAAAGAUCAAGGAUGACUUCUCAGAGGUAAGCAGCUUUCCCUUUGUUUCCCCGUCCUCUCAGGAGCCCUCUUUAUGAUGCUUGUACACACUUCAGGCUCACAACACUCAUUUUCUCCUCUACUUAGUAUUCCCAGUCCCUGCCUAAGCCGUCCUCCCUCCCCCCACUUUCCAAAGACCUACGUGCUCUGCUCAGGUCCCUCCUGAGGCCUUACAGAUCUUUUAAAUCUGCUCAGCGUUCUUUCCGGCUUGUACUGUGCCAUUAUUUUUUCCCUGCUCCUUUUGAGAAUGUCUGUACCCUUUUCAGAUCUCGAUUGGGUUGGCUUUUUUGGACCCAUCUGCAUGGCCUUUUGUUUUGUAGAUAGUCUACUAAGGUACGUUACUUCUCCGGUGAGUUAUUUUACUACAUUGAAUUGUAUUUUUGUGGUUUGUAAUCUGUUACACUCCUAGAUUAUUUCUACCUAUGUAAAGAAAAGUUCAGCUAAUUACAGUCAAAACCAGUUUUAGUUACCUACUUGGUCAUAUUGUCGUUUCAAUAAUCAGAACUGAAGCAAAAGCACAGGAAUUGUUGCCUCUAGUAACACUCCACACACUGUUGAGCUAAGCCAAAUAAAAAACGCAGCUGC